CAUCCUUAUGCUCUCCAUGUAGCACAGAAAAUAUGAAAAACAUACAGUAUGUUGUCUUCAAUGGAGUAGUAAAACAAAACUUGGAUUAAAACUUGCUUCACUGUGGAGAAAAUAGAUUUUCUUUUCCAGACUCUGUAAACAGAAAGCAAAACCAUUAGAGACAUUGUCCUACCUUGUUCUGACUGCACAUUCAAGAAUCAUCACAUCCACAGCUGAAAUGGAAGGAAUGCUCCCAAACUAAUAUUUACCCUCCUGCACUGAAAAGGCUGGACAACCACGGGACCUAAAUUGUCACAGAAGUAGAGCUUUCAGGAUUCAGGAGCCUGACUCGGUAAAAGAUGCCCUGCCCAUGGAGAGUCAGACAAAGCAUGAGAGAGUUAAGUACUUGCACUAUGUUAUUUUUUAGUUUAUUAAUUAAGGACAGGAUUAUGCACCUGGUACUGAAGCUGCAAAUUGGAAGUUCUCUCUAAGACCUGGAAACAUCAACGGGCUCGCUUCCAUAAAUAAUACUGGAAGUUAAACAGUGGUUUCACAGUGUCUAGAUCAUAGUAUAAAUAAGAAAGCAGAAAAAUCCAG
ensembl:lncRNA